UCGAGCGAACUGAUUAGAAGCUUGCUUCUAUGACGUUAGCGGCGGACGGGUGAGUAACACGUGGGCAACCUGCCUGUAAGACUGGGAUAACUUCGGGAAACCGAAGCUAAUACCGGAUAGGAUCUUCUCCUUCAUGGGAGAUGAUUGAAAGAUGGUUUCGGCUAUCACUUACAGAUGGGCCCGCGGUGCAUUAGCUAGUUGGUGAGGUAACGGCUCACCAAGGCAACGAUGCAUAGCCGACCUGAGAGGGUGAUCGGCCACACUGGGACUGAGACACGGCCCAGACUCCUACGGGAGGCAGCAGUAGGGAAUCUUCCGCAAUGGACGAAAGUCUGACGGAGCAACGCCGCGUGAGUGAUGAAGGCUUUCGGGUCGUAAAACUCUGUUGUUAGGGAAGAACAAGUACGAGAGUAACUGCUCGUACCUUGACGGUACCUAACCAGAAAGCCACGGCUAACUACGUGCCAGCAGCCGCGGUAAUACGUAGGUGGCAAGCGUUAUCCGGAAUUAUUGGGCGUAAAGCGCGCGCAGGCGGUUUCUUAAGUCUGAUGUGAAAGCCCACGGCUCAACCGUGGAGGGUCAUUGGAAACUGGGGAACUUGAGUGCAGAAGAGAAAAGCGGAAUUCCACGUGUAGCGGUGAAAUGCGUAGAGAUGUGGAGGAACACCAGUGGCGAAGGCGGCUUUUUGGUCUGUAACUGACGCUGAGGCGCGAAAGCGUGGGGAGCAAACAGGAUUAGA
rnacentral:rRNA from 1 species